UGUGCUUUGCUGCAUGUCUUAAAUUACAUGUAUUUUUAAGUGUAAUUAUUUAAAUGUUUGUCAAAUGCAUAAUGAUAGAUGGACAGUUUUUUUUUUUGUAUCAGUGUAAUCCGCAGGUCAAAGUCGAAGAAAGCAAAAUUAUAUUCAACAUUUUAAAUGAAUAUCCCACAUCACCCCACAGAGCAUGUUCACGAGCCUAAAGAAGAAUGUUUUAAGCAGUAUUUGUAAAACAGCGCGGCUCAAACCGAAGGAUCCUUUAUGUUCAGGUCACACAGACGGUAUUCAUCUCAGAACAAACCAGCACCAUCCAACAUCUGAGCUCAGGUCUACGGGAGAAACACAGUGAGGCCGUGAGCUGGACCCGCAGGCUUUCAGAGACCCUCACUUCAGCUGAAUGGAGCUCUGCGGCUGACACUGACUUCUCUGGAAAAGGGAAACGCAACGUUCCUUAAAUACAGUGUCCGGAGACAGAAAGGGCAGCAGAAGGCGUCUAAGCGGGACCCCAGGAACCUGACGGGGCCCCGGCCCUUCAGCUGACCAGAACAGAGCUCACUCACACACAGAGGAACUCAUGUGCAGAGAUGUUUAACACUUUAGUCUCAAGUCAUUAUUUUAGAUCUAUAAAGGAUCCUAUUUAUUUGUCAUACUGUAUAUGGUAAACAAAAGACCUUUGUUAUGAUAUGGGAUAUUAAGUCUUAUACUCUAAAGAAAAAAAACAACCCACAAAUAAAUCAAAUCCGUCAGUGGGGUCAGAAAUUUUUUAUUACCAGUUUCUCUCUUAAAAUUAUAUAUGUAUAUAUUUGGCAUAUCUCCUCUCACUUAAUAUCUUUGCUUAAUAAAUAAAUAUCUGAGAAAACUAUUUUUAGACUUCUUAUGUACACUAAAAAUAGACAAAAUAUGAAUUUAUGUGUGUGUGUGUGUGUAUGUGUGUUCUAUGUGUGUGUGUGUAUGCGUAUGUUGUAUGUAUGUGUGUGAGUGUUGUAUGUGUGUGUGUGUGUGUGUAGACACGGUUUUGAUCCAGACAGAUCAGAGGAGAUCAAUGCCAUGAAUCUUUUGCUGUUUGAGUGAGUCAGCAGUUCACACACACACUGUCCUGUAUGUGCUGGAGUGUGUGUGUGUGAGUCAGUCAGGAUCUAAUGGCAUACAAACACAAUCAUUUUUUUAAUUGCACUGAAGAUGUUUUUCUCCUACUCCACAGAUGAAGGAUUCUACAGCGGCCCUCAAGAGCUCUGAACACUACUGACCGCAAAAGUGGACAAUUUGAUUUGCUAUUUUGACCAGAUCUCGGUGGACUAACACGAGCAAACUGUCCAAAGACAUCAGAUCAAGAUGCCAGAAGUUUUAUCCAAAGCGUCAAACGACUAAAUGUAAAUGUAAUAAAAACAUGAAAUGACAUGCAACUGAGAAUCGACCUCUAGAUGAAUGAUAAAGCCCUGUUCGUUUUAUAAAACCCUCGAGAAAGUGGUCAAGAUGGGAGUUCUUUUACAUGACAGUGAUGCUUUACGGUCUGUUAUUAAUAUCAGGGCUGAAUCUGCUCUGUGUUUCUUUAUAUUUCCACAGCACCUGUGACCCCGAUACACUGAGUACACACACACACACACACACACACACACACACACACACACACUCUCUCUCUCUCUCUCUCUCUC